AUUGAACGCUAGCGGGAUGCUUUACACAUGCAAGUCGAACGAGUGGCGGACGGGUGAGAAAUAUAUCGGAACGUGCCCAGUAGCGGGGGAUAACUACUCGAAAGUGUGGCUAAUACCGCAUACUAUUGGAGCGGCCGAUAUCGGAUUAGCUAGUUGGUGGGGUAAAGGCUCACCAAGGCCACGAUCCGUAGCUGGUCUGAGAGGAUGACCAGCCACACUGGGACUGAGACACGGCCCAGACUCCUACGGGAGGCAGCAGUGGGGAAUUUUGGACAAUGGGGGAAACCCUGAUGCAGCCAUGCCGCGUGUAUGAGAAGGCCUUAGGGUUGUAAAGUACUUUUGGCAGAGAAGCGGUACCGGCAGAAGAAGCACCGGCUAACUACGUGCCAGCAGCCGCGGUAAUUC
rnacentral:rRNA from 1 species